AUUGAACGCUGGCGGCAGGCCUAACACAUGCAAGUCGAACGAGUGGCGGACGGGUGAGUAAUGUCUGGGAAACUGCCCGAUGGAGGGGGAUAACUACUGGAAACGGUAGCUAAUACCGCAUACCAUCGGAUGUGCCCAGAUGGGAUUAGCUAGUAGGUGGGGUAACGGCUCACCUAGGCGACGAUCCCUAGCUGGUCUGAGGGGAUGACCAGCCACCAUUGAACUGAGACACGGUCCAGACUCCUACUGGGGGCAGCAGUGGGGAAUAUUGCACAAUGGGCGCAAGCCUGAUGCAGCGAUGCUGCGUGUAUGAAGAAGGCUUUCGGGUUGUAAACCGCUUUCAGCCAUUACGCGUUAGUGGCAGAAGAAGCACCGGCUAACUACGUGCCAGCAGCCGCGGUAAUAC
rnacentral:rRNA from 1 species